rnacentral:rRNA from 1 species
ACUCAAAUGAAUUGACGGGGGCCCGCACAAGCAGCGGAGCAUGUGGUUUAAUUCGAAGCAACGCGAAGAACCUUACCUAGACUUGACAUCUCCUGAAUUACCUUUAAUCGGGGAAGUCCCUUCGGGGACAGGAAGACAGGUGGUGCAUGGUUGUCGUCAGCUCGUGUCGUGAGAUGUUGGGUUAAGUCCCGCAACGAGCGCAACCCUUAUUGUUAGUUGCUACCAUUUAGUUGAGCACUCUAGCGAGACUGCCCGGGUUAACCGGGAGGAAGGUGGGGAUGACGUCAAAUCAUCAUGCCCCUUAUGUCUAGGGCUACACACGUGCUACAAUGGCCGGUACAAAGAGACGCGAUACCGCGAGGUGGAGCCAAACUAUAAAACCGGUCUCAGUUCGGAUUGUAGGCUGAAACUCGCCUACAUGAAGCUGGAGUUGCUAGUAAUCGCGAAUCAGAAUGUCGCGGUGAAUACGUUCCCGGGCCUUGUACACACCGCCCGU